rnacentral:tRNA from 70 species
CUCCUCGUAGUUCAAUGGAUAGAACGAGUGCCUCCUAAGCGCUAGAUACAGGUUCGAUUCCUGUCGAGGGGACCA